rnacentral:rRNA from 1 species
AUGCAAGUCGAGCGGGACUGCCUGAGAUUACAUCAACUGGCAGUCUAGCGGCAGACGAGUGAGUAACACGUAAGCAACCUGCCCUUGAAUGGCGAACAACAUGCCGAAAGGCAUGCUAAUACGCCGUAUACUCCCCGGGGGGCAUCUCCUGGGGCGGAUAGGCCCGCAAGGGCCGUUCAAGGAGGGGCUUGCGUCCCAUCAGCUAGUUGGCGGUGUAACGGACCACCAAGGCUAUGACGGGUACCCGGCCUGAAAGGGCGGACGGGCACGAAGGCACUGAGACACGGGCCUUACUCCUACGGGAGGCAGCAGUGGGGAAUUUUGGACAAUGGGGGAAACCCUGAUCCAGCAACUCUGCGCGAGGGACGAAGUUCUUCGGAAUGUAAACCUCUUUUGUCUGGGACGAAAACCCGCAAGGGCUUGACGGUACCAGGCGAAUAAGCCACGGCUAACUAUGUGCCAGCAGCCGCGGUAAGACAUAGGUGGCAAGCGUUAUUCGGAAUUACUAGGCGUAAAGCGAGUGUAGGCGGGCGCUUAAGUCCGUUGUGAAAUCUCCCGGCUUAACUGGGAGGGGUCAACGGACACUGGGCGUCUUGAGUGAGGUAGGGGGUACUGGAAUUCCCGGUGUAGCGGUGAAAUGCGUAGAUAUCGGGAGGAACACCUAUGGCGAAAGCAGGUACCUGGGCCUUUACUGACGCUGAGACUCGAAAGCUAGGGGAGC